rnacentral:rRNA from 1 species
CCUACGGGUGGCAGCAGUGAGGAAUAUUGCUCAAUGGCCGUAAGGCUGAACCAGCCAAGUCGCGUGAAGGAAGAAGGAUCUAUGGUUUGUAAACUUCUUUUAUAGGGGAAUUAAGGUAUCCACGUGUGGAUAUUUGCAUGUACCCUAUGAAUAAGCAUCGGCUAACUCCGUGCCAGCAGCCGCGGUAAUACGGAGGAUGCGAGCGUUAUCCGGAUUUAUUGGGUUUACAGGGUGCGUAGGUUGGUUUUUAAGUCAGAGGUGAAAGUUUGUGGCUCAACCAUAAAAUUGCAGUUGAAACUGGAAGACUAGAGUGUGUUUGAGGUAGGCGGAAUGCGUGGUGUAGCGGUGAAAUGCAUAGAUAUCACGCAGAACACCGAUUGCGAAGGCAGCUUACUAGGCCAUAACUGACACUGAAGCACGAAAGCGUGGGGAGCAAACAGGAUUAGAUACCCCUGUAGUC